GAUGAACGCUAGCUACAGGCUUAACACAUGCAAGUCGAGGGGCAUCAGGAUGUAGCAAUACAUUGCUGGCGACCGGCGCACGGGUGAGUAACACGUAUCCAACCUGCCUUUUACUCGGGGAUAGGCUUUCGAAAGAAAGAUUAAUACCCGAUGGUAUAAUAUUUCCGCAUGGGAUUAUUAUUAAAGGAUUCCGGUAAAGGAUGGGGAUGCGUUCCAUUAGGUUGUUGGUGAGGUAACGGCUCACCAAGCCUUCGAUGGAUAGGGGUUCUGAGAGGAAGGUCCCCCACAUUGGAACUGAGACACGGUCCAA
rnacentral:rRNA from 1 species